rnacentral:rRNA from 1 species
AACUCACAUCCAUAAGCGCCAGGGAACUACGAGCCACGCUUAAAACCCAAAGGAUUUGACGGUGUCCCACCCCCCUAGAGGAGCCUGUUCUAUAAUCGAUGAUCCCCGCUAUACCCCACCACCCCUUGCUCGUCAGUCUGUAUACCUCCGUCGAAAGCUUACCAUGUGAACGUCUAUAGUAAGUUCAAUGACCCAUGCCAAUGCGUCAACACGUCAGGUCAAGGUGCAGCUUAAGAGGUGGAAAGUGAUGGGCUACAAUUUCUAAUCUAGAACAAACGAAAGGCCGUGUGAAAUCGUGGCCACGAAGGCGGAUUUAGUAGUAAAAAGAAAAUAGAGUGUUCUUUUUAACCCGGCUCUGGGACGCGUACACACCGCCCGUCAC